GUUCAGGUGCUAUGCAAAUCAUCGCUGGAAAACCCCGCCAGAGGAGGAAUCCAGCAACGGUAUUCAGAUGAUGGUUGUGCCGUAGAUUACCUGAACUCU
rnacentral:SRP_RNA from 1 species